rnacentral:lncRNA from 1 species
AAAAAGGAAGCAGAAAGGCCAGGAGGACGAGCUUCACUGGAGGAGUCCUUAUAGGAAGAGGAGAUGAGGACACAGACACCCACAGAGGGAAGACGGUGUGAGGACACAGGGAGAGGACACCAUCUGCAAGCCCAGGAGGGAGGCCUCAGGAGAAACCAAUCCCGCCCACACCUGGAUGUGGGGCUUCCAGCCCCCAGCACUGCGAGGGAAUAAAGCUCCGUUGUGUAAGCUGCCGCAUCUGUGGUAUUUUAUUAUGGCAGCCCCAGCUACUAAUACAGUACCCCUACCGAUACAUACAUAUUUACCCACAUGUAGCCACACACAUGUGCACAUAUGUAAUCUUUUUGCCUAUAAAAAAGUAAGCAAUGCCUAAAAGUACAGGUGGAGAGAAGGCUAAAAAGCACAGGCUCGAAGAGACUGCCAAGAUACAACGAUCCAACAAAGACACAUCGUAUCAACAGUAAUGAUUUCCUAAAUGUGAAGGUAAUUUGGAUGGCUGGUUUAUAGUUUUCAUGCCCGGGAGUUUUCCAAGGCACAAUGUAUACCCUUUGCGGCAGCUUACUCUCCUGAAAUGUGCCUUCAUGAAAUUAGAUAAACAGGGAGAAGAUAUGAAGUACAUCUGCCUAACACCACGUUAGAAGAAUCCCCGGGCAUUUGCAUCUUAUGCGAUGAUAUGCUGGCAAACCUUGGCCAACUUCCAGUCUUGUCCUUAUGACAGGGGACUGCUGUGUUGAGUUCCCGUCUCAGGCCUCACAUCCACCUUGGCCCUGCCUUGGGAGCCUGUAGGUGUGGGCAGAAAAGAGGGACGCUGCCUUCCUGGCUGGGCCUUUCUUCACACACAGGCACGAGGACCCAAGCUCUAAAGGAUGAAGUCCCCAUGGUCUCCGAAGUUUUCAUUAUCAUCCCCCUCCUAAAGCUCCACCUUGGAGGCAAUGCACUGUAACAAAAGGACCAGCACAGUGCCCAGCACACAGAAAGCUAUCAAUCAAUGUCAGCCUUAACCAUUAUGUUGGUUGACUUGCCAUCCCUCUUCCUCAACUGCAAACUAUGUGAGAGAAAGAUUCAUGUAACCUUGGUAUUACACAACUCCAUCGUGGUGGGUUCAGUUGCAUUUGUCAAAUGAUUCAGAGUAGGACAACGGGAAUUUUCUUUACAACAUCACAGCAUUGUAAAGUCUUUGCUUUGCACGAAAGUGUGGGACUGAAGAAAUGAUUGUGCAGGUUGAAACUGUGAAGCAAUUUUAAGAAGCAACAAGGAAAAUUAUGAUUGUUUCAUAAUCUUCAAAAAAUUUUUAAAGUGUUAAGAACUGUUUUACUACUGGUCGUAAAUGUAUAAGAACAUUUAAAGAUAGCAAAUUGAAUACUUAUUUAGCCUGUCAUAAUUUAAAAAAUGAGAAACAUUGAGAAAUAGUGUUUUAUUUCUUUGUAAAAGACUUAUGGAGAGUAAAUUGAAAAGGGCUUUGCCACCUUCUCAUUGUGAAACUUACAGUAUGGACCAGGCAUCUUUUCUAUGCCUUGGCAAAUUGUCACAUUCCUUUCUAUAUUUGGAUAGGCUUCCUACAUUUUGUCCUGCACACUUUCAGUGCUGUGAAAUAUCUCCAAGAGUUUCUUUAAUAUGAAGUUUUUGCCAGCAUCUUUAUCCUGAGUCCCUCAAAAGACACAUCCAGAAUCUCUCAAAAGACAACAGCAUCAACUUUCCCACCAUCAGCUCUUUCUUCUCUAAACUCGUUUACGUCUGAGUCAACUUUCACCUCCUGCAUUCUCACUUUUUGUUUCUUUGCUAUACUUUCCUCUUCAUUGGCUACCUACCUCUCUUGAGUAUUCAUUUCUGUGAAAUGUCACGUGGGUUUGUCACUGGGAGCCAAGAGAGCAGCACGACCACACGCUUUGCUGUCUGUGUGGGAACUGAUAACACGGAAGGACUGAAGGACGUGAUGCGGUUAAUCACUGAUCAUGAUGCACAUCUGUUAUUACGUGGUGGUCUGUGGACUGCAGAGCAAGCAGCAGAGGUUGUCCCCCAUGCAAUCACUCACAGUUAAUGGUGACUGAAAUUGGAACCAUGUUGUUAGGGGGCUGGUGUUAUUUAACCUCAGUUGCCACAGGGCAAUGAAAAUUCGUGCGUUUGGGAACUAUGCAAGGUGAGGACUGCCUGAAUGUUCCAUAAUGUGAUGAGUGCCUCACAAACAGGGUGUAUAUUAUCACUGAGUUUUUUCAUUAUUCUUGACCUUCAAUAUAUAGACAUUCUUGUUGAUGGUAUCAGGUUGUUUCUGCGUGAAUGAGCUUUACUCCUCUGAGAAAUGGCAUUCCUGACCCUCCUCUUUGAAUCAAUUGCACAAAAGUAUCUGAAGGAAAUUUGCUUACCUGCUGCUUUCUAUGGAAGCUUUCCUGCAGCAUGACCUAGUGUCUGUUUCUGGUUGAUGAUUAACCAUGGGGAACAAGCGUUUGAGAUAAAGAAGUUGCAGAACUUUUUAGAGAAUGUAAUAUGUUAAUGUGCACUGGGACUCUCCCUGAGCUAUAUCAAGUUUCCUGGAUUCUGAAAUGCUAUAAUUUUAAAAGUGUCAUAAGGUUAAAACAGCUUUCUAAGAAGUGCCUUUGUUGGAAGAAUACCCAGGAAUGGUGCGCUGGACAGCUUUUGUACAAGUCUUGCAUUUUCUCAGAACUAUCUCUCAUCUUGGCCAUGGCAUCAGUCACAUCCUGAGUGGCUCACCUUGACUUGGGUUGCCUCCUACUGCAGUUCUCCUAAACUCUGGUGGGGGACACGGGCACAACCCACCCAAUACUCGUAUGUGCUUUACCUGGAAAUAAGGAGCAGAGGAGCUAGGGGAAGGAGCCGAUGGCUAAAUGUUCCUGCCUUUUUUCCCUCAGGCAGACAGUUCUAAGGUGCACGCUGUAGGUUGCUGGGACAACCCUGGCAAGAUCUUCCCCCAGACAUCCACCUUGGCGGCCGACUUAUUAACUCAUUGGUCUAUUGACUUUUGCUCCUUGCCUCGCCCCUGAUCCCUGUGCCCUCUUUCUAAUAAGCUACCUGCUGGUGAGGCUCUGCCUUGGGGGAAACCCAGGCUGAGGCAGGUGGGAUGUUAUAACCAGGGAGGCCUGAGUCCUGGGUCUUUGCCUGGGGUCCCCAAAUAGGAGAGGGAUUGGAGGAGGUAUUGUGGGGGAGAGUGUUGCAAAAGCCCAGAGGAAAGGAGUGCUGUUACCACAACAGAGGAGACAUGAACCUGCACAGACCAAAAACAGGAGAGAGAGAGGGAAAGAGAAAGAGAAGGGGGAGAAAGAAAGGGAGAGACAGAGGAAGGGAGAGAUGGGGAAAGAGGAGAGGAGAAAGGGAGGGAGAGAAAGAAAGGAGAUGGAGAGAGAAAAGGGUGGGGAGAGAGAUAAAGAGAGAGGUAAAGAGAGAGAGAGAAUCAUCUACUACAUGAUUUCUUUUUUUUUUUUUUCUGAGAUGGAGUUUCGCUCUUGUUGCCCAGGCUGGAGUGCAGUGGCGUGAUCUCGGCUCACUGCAACCUCCAUCUCCCGGGUUCAAGCGAUUCUCCUACCUCAGCUUCCUGAGUAGCUGGGAUUACAGGUGCCUGCCACCACGCCCAGCUAAUUUUUGUAUUUUUGGUAGAGACGGGGUUUCACCGUGUUGACCAGGCUGGUCUCGAACUCCUGACCUCAGGUGAUCCGCCCGCCUCGGCCUCCCAAAGUGCUGGGAUUACAGGUGUGAGCCACCGCGCCUGGCCAUGAUUUUUUUUUUAACCUAUAAAAGCCUUGAGUAGUGAUGGACGCGAUUCCUAGUAAUGUGGUUUACUAAAGGGUCAGGCUGUCAGUUCACCACAAAUACGCCACAGUAGUGUUUGGUAUUCUCUCAAUGUUCCACCCACCAGAGCAUACAAAACAGCCACAUUCCCCAAACACUUAAUUCUCAAAACAUACUUGUAGAGGAGGGAAGCCUAUUACUCCCAUUAGAAAGAUGGAAAACCAAGGUGAAAUGAUUAACUGAGCUACCAGGGCCUCAGAAGAAAGUCGCUGCUGAGUUUGGGAUUGUGUUUUCAACUUCCUGCCCACUGUGGGUGAGCUCCACCUUUUACUGGAACCAACUCCAAGGAGGAAGUUUUGCUGGGUUUCCUGGAAGGCAGAGGUUUGCAUCUGCAUGCCCUGCGUGGAGGCAUUGUAUUUGGGGGCAGGCAGGAGAAUACUGUAGCUGGUGUGCCCACAGAAAGGGAGGGAGAGAAGCCACUGGGAGUGAGCUGGGCUUGGGAUCGGGCUGUGUCCUCACCAACUGUCUGCCCAGGCAUGAACUUGCCACUGCUGUGGAAGAGUCUGACUGCAUCCAAGAAUGCCAAAGGUUGUGGCUGAACUCACUUCUCAACAGACUUGGAUCAUGUUCAUAUACUAUUCUUUAAAAGAUCACCAUUUGUAGUAGAAUGUCAAAAACCCAAAGAUGUUGCUCCCGAUGUUGAGCUGUAACUAUUUUCUGUGUUGGUGGAAAAAUAUGAGAGAAUUAGUUGCCAUUCAUGAAUCUCAGUGAUACACAGACAAAAGCAUGCUUCAAUUUUGUUUCUUUGUUUUUGAGUGGUUCUGAUUUAUUUUCAGCUUUUGGGUGAUGUCUGGGGCUGUUUAUUGAGGACGGGAUAAAUGGGGGGGGGACCAAAAUAUAUUUGGCAUUUAUUGGUGGUGUUUUAUAUUUGUGACUUGAUUUACUUCUUAUCACAACCCAGUGAGACACGUACUAUUAUCAUCCUUUUAAUAGAUGAGCAGCCUGGAGCUUAGAGAGGUUAGGUAGCAUGGACAUCAUCAGGCAAGUUAAAUGAGAAAGCCGCCACCCAUUCCCAGCUGGGGCUGACCCCAGCGCCUGUGUUAUUUCUGUUGCCCUGAGCCUCCCCAGGCUUCUUAACCCACAUGUACUCCUAGCUUCCAGCAGUGCUAAUUUACACCGUGUACCAGCUGGAGACAUUCUGGAGUGUAGACUGACGCAAUAAUCCCCAAUGAUAGGUUUGCCAUGUUUUUUUUAAAUGUGUUUUUUCCUACUUUUUAUUAUAGAUGUCAGAAUUUUCUCCUUCCCUGAGUUAUCUUUGGACUUAGAUGUAUAUAAAUGUAUCUGGUUGGAGGUGGGGGGAAAAGUGGAAGUGGAAGACCACAAAAGUAAAAAUUACAUUUGAGUGUAUUUCACCGAUUCUAAGAGGAAUGCUUUCUUCUGCUCCAACCACUCUGAAAUCUCCGGGUCCCAUACUCCCAUCGCAGCUGUGUGACAUGGUUGCCGUGGCCUUUGUGUGAACAUCAAAGCUCAGAGGAUGGGUGUCAGAGGCUUAGAUGAAAAUCCUGAAGACAAUUGUCUGGCACUUUUCAAAGCUAUACGGCCUCACCAAAACCCUCCUGGAAGCUCUUGAUGGCUCGAGGUUCAACAGUGUCUGGGAAGACAUGGAUAUAAAAGAUCCAGAAUCAAAGAGUGAUUCCAAAGAGUUAGAGGCUGACUGUGAAGUCUUAGGCAUACUGUAACCCAGUGAUUUACCUAUCUUUGCUUUUCUGCUCAUGCAGAAGAGUGAUAUAUGAUGAAUAAAUUCUAAGUUCAAUUAGGCCUAAAAGAGCUCUUGUAAUAUGCUUUAAAAAGUCUAAGUGAUAAAACAUUGUGACAGAUAGAGUUCUGUCAGUGUUUAUAUUUUCUUAGUCCUUCAUUAAAUAACAGUGUGUCUUACACCAAGGCAGUUUUGGAUUCCAUAAAAUAUGGUAGUAGUUAUGUUUCAUGUUUCAAUAGUCAUCAAUCUGUUUUUAAUGUAUUCAUGGAAAAAUAUGUGGGCCAUCUUGCUAUUUAACUAUUUUUGAAAUCUCAUGGAAGCCUGCCAAUGUUUUUGCAAUUUAGCUAAGAAGCUGUCUUGCUUUUUGAGAGGGGAAGUUCCAAUAUUGUAAGCCUAGGUUUCUGAAUAUAUUUUUGUUUUUUAAUAAAUGUAGAAAGAAUGUUUUUUGUUAAUCCUGGCAUUUGUCUAGAGCAAAAGCAAAAUAAAUGAAAAGUGAGGAAAAUUAAAAGGCUCACGUUAUAACAUGUGCUGUCUAGAGAAUAAAAACUCAUUUGUGCAAAGUUGGUAUGGCUUUUAUGAAAAUAUUUCAGUCCGAGCACCUUGCCUGUUUGCUGCAGUGCUGACUGACUCAUGAUUAGGGAUCUGUGUUGCCUUUAUUGCUCUCGGUUUGCCCUAUGGCUUGAUUUAUUAAUAUAUUUAAAUAUACAAUUUUAACCUUAUCAUUGGUGUGCAGGUGUAUUUAUUUAUACUAUCUUUGCUUUUAGAAAAACACUAUUAUAUCAUAAAAAUAUUUUAACCUUAAAUUACU